GAAAAAAAAAGAAUGUCUACCGUAAAAAAAAACCACUACUUAUUGAACCUAAAAUACUGAGAGUAUAACAGUACUUUGACACUGACCUUAUACCUGCAAGAAUAGAUACGUUAACAAGAACUGUCCUGUUUGCUGUAAUCUAUACAUUGUUUACAAGUCACAGCAUUAAAGCCAUUUUAAAUAAGAAUGUAUUGUUGUAGACUCCUGCAGAUGUGUUUGAUUUCUGCUUGCUUUAUCAUGUCAUGGAGUGUCAUCGGCACCCAGGCAGUUGGUUCCAUCUCUUCACUCUUCAAUAUUACCUCUACAAUAACGACAGCACCCUCUAUCUACGACAAGGAUUCCAUUACCCAGUUCUACAAGAUCUUCGCACCGGUGUUGGUCACCUUUUUCACCGGCGGCUCCAUCUCUCAGCAAUGUUUCGGCAUUAUCGGUGCCGCUGCUGAUCCGUGGCUGCAGGCGUUUCUUACCUUUUUCUUUAGCCUUGUCGAUACUAACCACGAUGGUGUUCUGACCCCUGCGGAUACAUCUCCACUCGGAAUUUUUAUAGUUUUCAUUGAAUUUCUCAUUCUGGGUGCAGAUACAGGGAAUGACUAUUCUAUAUCUCUGGCCGAGUUCACGUCGUUUUUAAACGUGGCGCCCUUCCAGCCAAACGAGGUCUACAAGAAUGCUUUGCUGGUGAUGUUCUCAGCUCUGGAUCUUGACCAUGACCAGAAACUUAGCUUCUUUGAUAUCGUUCCUGUCAACAUCUUAGGUUGAAAUGUCAGACACUCGUGUACUGUAUGUUGGACUACACAGGUUUCAUGGUUCACCGCCUUCAAAUCAAAUUUAUAUUUAUUAGAAAACGUCUUUUUUUAUUUCUCUUGUUUUCCAAGUGAUAAAAGGGAGAGAAUAAAUAAGGUUUCAAAGUAAUAUUCUGUUUUUGUCUUAAAUAGAUUGUUAUAUGUGUGGAUUAUAUAAUGCGUAACCUAUUAUACAAUGUAGUUAAGUUAAUAAAUUAUUGUUCAAAAUAAAGGAUUGUCGUCUGA